GCUGGCCUGAGCUCCACUAUACGAUGCUAGGUGAUGCCCAGUGUCCAGGAGCCGGGAGACGAUGGCCUACUCCACGUGAAGGACCUCCACUAUGUUCCAGAGCCGGGAGACGAUGGCCUACUCCACGUGAAGGACCUCCACUAUGUUCCAGAGCCGGGAGACGAUGGCCUACUCCACAUGAAGGACCUCCACUCUGUUCCAGAGCCGGGAGACGAUGGCCUACUCCACGUGAAGGACCACCACUAUGUUCCAGAGCCAGGCCAGCCACCUGGACUAACACAGAUACAGAAAUAACAGAAUGAAGUCGCCCACAAUCCCGGAUCUUAGUUUUGUCAGUUUGUGUUUUCUGGUCCGGAUGAUGAUCCUAGAUCUGUUCCUAAGGGAGCAGUGUCUUC
ensembl:lncRNA